rnacentral:rRNA from 1 species
UACGGAGGGUGCUAGCGUUGUUCGGAAUUACUGGGCGUAAAGCGUACGUAGGCGGCUUUGUAAGUUAGAGGUGAAAGCCCGGGGCUCAACCCCGGAAUUGCCUUUAAGACUGCAUCGCUUGAAUCCAGGAGAGGUGAGUGGAAUUCCGAGUGUAGAGGUGAAAUUCGUAGAUAUUCGGAAGAACACCAGUGGCGAAGGCGGCUCACUGGACUGGUAUUGACGCUGAGGUACGAAAGCGUGGGGAGCAAACAGG